rnacentral:miRNA from 1 species
AGGUCAUGCUGGUAGCUUCAC